rnacentral:rRNA from 1 species
AUGAACGCUGGCGGCGUGCCUAAUACAUGCAAGUCGAGCGAACGGACGAGAAGCUUGCUUUUCUGAUGUUAGCGGCGGACGGGUGAGUAACACGUGGAAAACCUACCUAUAAGACUGGGAUAACUUCGGGAAACCGGAGCUAAUACCGGAUAAUAUUUUGAACCGCAUGGUUCAAAAGUGAAAGACGGUCUUGCUGUCACUUAUAGAUGGAUCCGCGCUGCAUUAGCUAGUUGGUAAGGUAACGGCUUACCAAGGCAACGAUGCAUAGCCGACCUGAGAGGGUGAUCGGCCACACUAGAGCUGAGACGCGGUCCAGACUCCUACGGGAGGCAGCAGUAGGCAAUCUUCCGCAGUAGGCGGAAGCCUGACGGAGCAGCGCCACGUGAGUGGUAGAAAUCUUCGGAUCGUGAAACUCUGUUAUUGGGGGUAAACAUAUGUGUAAGUAACUGUGCACAUCUUGACGGUACCUAGUCAGAAAGCCACGGCUAACUACGUG